AGCAGUUAAGCCAGAUGACAGAAGCAGAAAGAAAUGGUGCCAGACUUCCUCGGCUUACAGUGACCUUUAGAAGGCUGUUGUCAGAUAUACUUUUCCCCUACAACGUAUUUCUAAAAAGGACAAGGUAGUUGAGCAGGCGUAACCAGUACCUUGGAUCCAUAUUCUGGACUUCUGAAAAGUUUGAAUGCCACUGGCGGGAUCCAUCCACAUGGAGAAGCCUUUAUUGAAGUUGUUCCAUCAUCUCUUGGGGAAGAGGUGGAAUCUUCAGAAAAUAGAAUAUAACUGAGGCUGUGUUAUCAUUUCAAGGGAUAUUCCAAGGGCUUGGAGAUGGGACAAUGCACAUUCCCCUUGCCAAGUCCCAGUUGGCCCAUUCAUCCCUCUGGCUAUGUCGUCAUCAUACUUCCUCCAGUGUGGACCCCAUGGAGCCCUGUCAGAAGUAUCUGAACCCCUCCCAAUUCAGAGUGGUGUUGUGAACAAUUGCAAACUGCUGAGAACCUUUCUGGUAAGGAGUAAGAGUCAGAGAUUAAUUUGAAUCCUCACCUUCAACAACUA